rnacentral:rRNA from 1 species
AGAGUGAACGCUGGCGGUAGGCCUAACACAUGCAAGUCGAACGGCAGCACAGUAGGAGCUUGCUCUUACGGGUGGCGAGUGGCGGACGGGUGAGGAAUACAUCGGAAUCUACCUUUUGGUGGGGGGAUAACGUAGGGAAACUUACGCUAAUACCGCAUACGCCCUUCGGGGGAAAGCCGGGGACCAGCAAUGGCCUGGCGCUGAUAGAUGAGCCGAUGUCGGAUUAGCUAGUUGGUGAGGUAAUGGCUCACCAAGGCGACGAUCCGUAGCUGGUCUGAGAGGAUGAUCAGCCACACUGGAACUGAGACACGGUCCAGACUCCUACGGGAGGCAGCAGUGGGGAAUAGUUGGACAAUGGGCGCAAGCCUGAUCCAGCCAUACCGCGUGGUGAAGAAGGCCUUGGUUAGUAAAGCCCUUUUAGUUAGGUAAAGAAAAGCAAGUUCGGUUAAGUUACCCGGUGUUUCUAGUAACGGUAACCCGAAAAG